AGAAAGAUUCGUGCAUGCAUGUAUGAACGCAUGCUACAUAUGCAUGCUUGCAUGAUAUAUCUAUCUAUCUAUUCAUAUGUCUGUCACUAUAUAUACAAAACGUGUACUGAGAAAGUACUAAAUACAGAAGUAGACUCGAAAUAUUUUUAUUUAUACUUUUAAAGUUGGCAGUGAUUUCGAAGUUUCACCACUUCCGGUAGAACAUAGUUCUGUAUUAAAGUUUAGAAAAAUUAAUUUGUUGGGUAGAGAGGAAGAAGCUUGCGAUUGGAUAAUUGAUUGCGAGAGGUGAGAGGAGUGGUUGAAGGAAGAGAAUAUAUAAAAGGAAGAGUUAUGUUGUAAUUAUUGGUAAAUUGAGGAUUAUCUGAUCUGAUCUGGGGGAGUUCGUAAAAAUCGUAUCUUUAAAAAAGCAGAAACAAAAAAAAAAGGUAAGGAAAACAGAAUUGGAACCAGGCAAACCAAUUACAGAAAGGAGAGAAAACCUGAAGAAAUUGGAAGCUUAGAAGGCAUACAAUAAGAAAUUUCUUAAGGAAUCAUCAUUCGCAGGAAGUCAAAGAAGCCAGAUCAACAGAAGUAAUAACAAUAAUAAUAAUCAUAUAAUAAUCAACCACCUACAAACACUACAAUAUCACAUUUUUACCAAAAGAGGAGAGGAAGUAACGAAAAAAAAAAAAUCAAGCGCCACCCCCACAAAAACAGCUAAAAUUUCAUCAGUAGUGUGAAGAAUUCCUCUGUGAUUUUGGGAAGUUAUCAUUGGUUCGGGAAAUUGUCA